UUUCCGUAGGCGAACCUGCGGAAGGAUCAUUAUAAAUGAAAAACGAAUAACUUCAGGGAAGAAGGGAACCUGCACGGUGACCUCCCCUGUCGGGCCACCCAAUACCUUCAAAAUGCCGCCGUCCUAGCGGUGGCAGACGAAAAAAAAACAAGAAAAACAAAAUAGAAGCAGGCACGGUGGCCCGUUCACCUUCACACAACCCUCCGAGUACCGCUUCCAUGUUGCUUCCCCGCAAAUCCACCUCUUUGGUGAGCGCGGGGGAGGUCCGCAUCAAAUUCACCUGAAUGUCACAGCAGUCAGACAGCCAUUCAUGGAAACAAUAAAACUUUCAACAACGGAUCUCUUGGUUCCC
rnacentral:misc_RNA from 1 species